rnacentral:rRNA from 1 species
AACAAACGCUGGCGGCGUGCCUAAUACAUGCAAGUCGAACGGGGAAAGCCUUCGGGUGAGUACUAGUGGCGCACGGGUGAGUAACACGUGGGUAAUCUGCUUUAGAGUGGGGGAUAACCAGUCGAAAGAUUGGCUAAUACCGCAUAAGACCACAGGAUCUGCGGAUCUAGGGGUCAAAGGUUUUUCGCUCUAAAAUGAGCCCGCGCGGGAUUAGCUAGUUGGUGAGGUAACGGCUCACCAAGGCUACGAUCUCUAGCUGGUCUGAGAGGAUGAUCAGCCACACUGGGAACUGCGACACGGGCCAGACUCCUACGGGAGGCAGCAGUAAGGAAUAUUGCGCAAUGGACGAAAGUCUGACGCAGCGACGCCGCGUGGGGGAUGAAGGUCUUCGGAUUGUAAACCCCUUUCGGGAGGGAAGAUGGAGUGGGGUAACCACUUGGACGGUACCUCCAGAAGCAGCCACGGCUAACUUCGUGCCAGCAGCCGCGGUAAU